rnacentral:tRNA from 1 species
GUAGUUGUGGCCGAGUGGUUAAGGGCAUGGACUAGAAAUCCAUUGGGGUCUCCCGCCGCAGGUUCGACUCCUGCCAACUACG